ACAGCAGCACUUCGCUUUUCAUGGAUUUACCGCAGCCUGUUCACAACUCCGUUGUCAGAGGUGAAAAAGAGAACAAACGCAGAUACCACAACAAAGGGGACGUCGGCUUCAUGUAUCACUUCCCAUCGAGAUCGUGGGAAGCAACUCGGCGGCAGAAGUGGAUCAUCGCUGUUCGGCGCGUCAACGCCGGUGACCUAUCAUCUUGGAAGCCUAACGAGAAUACCGGGAUAUGAUAGAGGUAUUUCGAGAACAGCGAAAAAGCACCAUCCAGAAUCAUCCUGGUUACCUUCCGAAGAGGUGGUCGACAGCUCCUGCUCAACAGCUUUCGAGGUUUUCGAGUAAUAAAACUACAAGUGACAGCUGAUCGAGAAACG